UGAUAAAGUAAGCUAAGUGAAGCUGUUGGGUUCAUACCUCAAAAAUGGAUUUAGAUUAUCUCUUUAUUAA
rnacentral:tRNA from 1 species